rnacentral:rRNA from 1 species
UACGAAGGGUGCAAACGUUGCUCGGAAUUAUUGGGCGUAAAGCGCACGUAGGCGGCGCACCAAGUCAGGCGUGAAAGCCCUGGGCUCAACCCGGGAAUUGCGCUUGAGACUGGUGUGCUUGAGUACGGGAGAGGAUAGUGGAAUUCCCAGUGUAGAGGUGAAAUUCGUAGAUAUUGGGAAGAACACCGGUGGCGAAGGCGGCUAUCUGGACCGUAACUGACGCUGAGGCGCGAAAGCGUGGGGAGCAAACAGG